AACAAAUGCAGUCCAAUGUAACCCUGAGACAUUGCCCCACUUUCAGCAAAUGGUACAGUGGGUGUAUUAGGGUUGACUUGUUUGGCCGCACUAAAGGCGUUGUAGAUCAUGCCAACCUGUGGACCGUUACCAUGACCCAAUAAUAUCUGAUAACCCUGCUUUAAUAAAGCAACCGCCUGUCGUGCUGGUAGUUGUACCAAGUCCUUUUGUUCGGUGGGAUUGUUACCUAAUGCAUUACCACCCAAUGCUAUGACAAUUUUUUGCAUCUUUAAUACCCUAAAGUAGCUAAAAUAACGGCCUUAAUCGUGUGCAAGCGGUUUUCUGCUUGGAUAAAGGCCAUGUUAUGCUUGGACUGAAACACCGUAUCAGUCACUUCCAUCGCACCCGUUUUCACCACCGGAUAUUUUUUACCUAACUUUUGUUUAAUUUCCAGUGAAAAGCUAGUGUGAUCAUCAUGGAAAGCGGGGAGACAGUGCAAGAAGAUCACAUCACUCUUAGCUGCUUUGAUCAUAGCCAUGUCAACUUGAAAUUGACCCAGCUCCUGAAUCCGUUCUUCAAAUAAGCUAAAGUCUUCACCCAACGACAGUCACACAUCGGUGUAAAUUACAUCAGCAUUCUUAGCCGCUUGCAGCUUAUCAGUGCUAAAGCUAACACUACCACCAUUGAGUUGAAACAAUGCUUGACACUGCUCAAAGACCUCUUUAUACCCAGCACCAUUUUGAACUAAUUCAUGCU
rnacentral:sRNA from 1 species